rnacentral:rRNA from 1 species
GAUGAACGCUAGCGGCAGGCUUAACACAUGCAAGUCGAGGGGCAGCACGUCUUCGGAAGGUGGCGACCGGCGCACGGGUGCGUAACGCGUAUACAACCUACCUUAUAGAGGGGAAUAGCCCAGAGAAAUUUGGAUUAAUGCCCCAUAGUAUUAUUGAAUAGCAUUAUUUGAUGAUUAAACAUUUAUGGCUAUAAGAUGGGUAUGCGUUCUAUUAGCUAGAUGGUAAGGUAACGGCUUACCAUGGCAACGAUAGAUAGGGGUCCUGAGAGGGAGAUCCCCCACACUGGUACUGAGACACGGACCAGACUCCUACGGGAGGCAGCAGUGAGGAAUAUUGGACAAUGGGCGAGAGCCUGAUCCAGCCAUGCCGCGUGCAGGAAGACGGCCCUAUGGGUUGUAAACUGCUUUUAUACGGGAAGAAACACUCCUUCGUGAAGGAGCUUGACGGUACCGUAAGAAUAAGGAUCGGCUAACUCCGUGCCAGCAGCCGCGGU